AACAUAACAUUUCAUCACCACCCCUUUCUUCAUUUCACCUUUAUCUCUUUACAAAUCCACAGCUCCCAUCUCCAUCUCUCUGUUUUAUAAACCCAGAUUAUAAUCAGAUGUCUUACUAAACCCUCAUCCGUAAAUCUUUCCAUUUCACCUUUAUACUCUUCCAGAAUCCCCAUCUCUCUACGUCUCUGUUCCACAAACCCUAGAUUAGAUAUGUUACUAAACCCUCCUCCUAAAUCUUUCUUUUUCUUCAGGGUUCAUGAUUCAGUCAUGGAAAAGUAUUUCUCCAGAGUUCAAUGAGAAUUUCAAGUUACUACCUGAAGAGAUUACAUUGGAUAUUUUGACUCGAUUACUGACUGAACCGGUGCUUGAUCGCGAAUAAGUCUGCAGAAAUUGGAGACAUCUCGUUUCUCAUCAUCCAUCAUCAGCUUCUGAUUAUUCUGGUGAGUUUCUGUAACUAAGUUGGAUGAUUAUAAUGAUAAAAUUACAGUAUUUUGAGAUUCAUGAUUAGUCAACAAUUUCAAGGAUUAAUUUCACCCCUUUGUUUCUGAUGACUCUAAUUCUUAGGCCGUGCAAUGAAUUUUUGCUUCCUGAAAUUAAGAUUCUAUCAUGUUAAUUGGGUGAUCGGAUUUGGUUACGUUUCUUCAACAGAUGAGUAUAAAGUUGUGGCAAUACUUAUGUUGAAAUCCCAGUUAAUACAGGUCCAUGUAUAUACACUAUGGAUGCAGUUCAAAAGUUCAAAUUAUUUUUCUAGGAAACAAGCGGGUGUCUUUGCCAAUGGAGCUCUUUAUUUUAUGGGCAUGGGUUGGAGGCUUGGAGCCAUAACCUUUGAUUUGUCCGAGGAGAAGUUUUGUGAACAUCUUUUGCCACCUUCUUUGACACAAUACGGCGAUUGGCGGUUGAAUUGGAUAGGGGUUUUGAAUGGUUUUAUAUUUUUUUGAUGUUUGGCUAGUUGGCAAUUAAAAAGGAAAAACAACAAUCAUGACGUGAAAGAGCAAGAGGAACAUCAAUCAUUGGUUUGGAAUAAAUAGAUUAAUGGAAGUAACUUAUUAGCCAUUACCAACAGUGGUGGUUUUUUAACUUACAGCGGUUACUAUCAAUUCCAACCAUCUCUCAGCAUAUACAACACAAAAGCUUCAACCUCGAAAACGCUUGUGGAAUUGGAGGAGGAUUUUACGGAUAUGUUUUUAAAGCAGUCCCUCACAGUAAUACUUUAGUUCUGCUGAAAGAAUUAGGAGAAGAUAAAAAGAUGAUGGAGUCGGUUACUACUGCAGUCCGCAGACAUACUUAUAAACUGGCCUACUCUGCCUUUUUUGCAACUCAGGUCUGUACAAGUUUAAGAGACGGUCACUUUUUGUGGCCUCAUUCCCCUUCAAAUUGUUUCUCUGUUGCCUUUGUAUAUCAGAUAUUCACCAAUAUGAUGCCAUUGGAACUAUUGAACCAACUAUAAAUUGAAUUCCAUAUACAAGACCGUGACCAACUCAGUAAUUUCUACGUGAGGACUAUGUUAAGAAGAUCAGAGAUCACAAUAAUUUGUUGCUGCUUUGUGCACUUGAACUCUUAGGCAUGGGCCUGCUAUUAUCUCUAUUGCUUGUCCUUUUGGCUGCUCAAACCGCGGGAUGUCAUUCCUUCAUGAUCCUGAUCUGAUGACCUUUGUCAGAGCUCACGAUUCUAUGUUGCUCUCUGUGCAUUUGAACUCUUUAAGGCAUGGGACCUCUACUCAAUGACUGCAGUCUAAAACUCAAAAUUGCUGGCAACGCCUACCAAUAUUUAUCCUGUCAAAGUCAAAGGCUAGAAUAAAUCACAAGCAAAUGGAAGAUCCUAAAGCGAGGACAAAGUUAAAGGCAAACAAAUGGGUAGUGCAAGAAGUCCACUGUCAGGUUGUUGAAACAAUUACUACCAUGUGACACAAAGACAGCGGUGGUAUGUCUACACUGCACCAAAUCUUGAAAUGUUAUAGAACAUUCAAAUUUCACCUUACAGGAAUGAACAAAAAGUGUAAGCACCAGAAAAAAGUCCUCCGGCACAAGUUUACUCUAGGUUUGAAUCGUUUUACUAUGUUGAUAUAGUAAUUUGUAAAUCAUCAGUUGCUUCCUUUAUGUUUAUUGUAAUUGCUGCUGGAUUAAUAAACUUUUGCCCCCUACAUGUUUCAUUGUUCUUGUUUUCUUGUGA